UACGUAGGGUGCAAGCGUUAAUCGGAAUUACUGGGCGUAAAGCGUGCGCAGGCGGUUUUGUAAGUCUGUCGUGAAAGCCCCGGGCUUAACCUGGGAAUUGCGAUGGAGACUGCAAGGCUUGAAUCUGGCAGAGGGGGUAGAAUUCCACGUGUAGCAGUGAAAUGCGUAGAGAUGUGGAGGAACACCGAUGGCGAAGGCAGCCCCUGGGUCAAGAUUGACGCUCAUGCACGAAAGCGUGGGGAGCAAACAGG
rnacentral:rRNA from 1 species